ACAUUUUUUCGGCCUUUGAAAAAAAUCAAGGGUAGUGUCUGUUUUUAUUAGUUUAAUAUCUAAGUAUACGAGCCAUAUGCUCACUUUGAUAUUAAAUUUAUUUUUCAUGAGAAAGGAUCCACUAUAGUGGCUUGCUGCUAAGAUCCCACAUCGUCUAGGCGUUGCACUAUUGCCAUGGCCAGGCGCACCCCAA
rnacentral:snRNA from 1 species